AAAGAAUCAGCGCCAGAACGACCAAGGCUACCUCACUAUCCCGUAAUCCAGGAUGAAUCUCGUGCUAUACAGACCGAGCACGUUGCCGAAGAAUCUGGGUCCUAUUGGUGAAUCGAAUUAUGCUCGGUUACUUGAACCUACUAAGUCCUCUCCUUUCCCAGAUUCAGUGCCAUGGGGUCAGCCCUACAGAGACUCAGCAAGUCAUGGUGCAACAUAGGUAAUUUGUUUCCAGAUUAUACUUGUACUAAAUUUUUAAUAAAUGUAUGUU
rnacentral:misc_RNA from 1 species